ensembl:lncRNA
AUGCCUGUUUUAAUAAAAGAGACAACGCUGGGGAGGAGGAGGAGAGUCUCCGGGACGACGCGGCAGAGUUCGUGUCUGAUCGGAGCGCCACUCCCCCCUGGCCAGGGGACAAGUCUUCCAAGUCUGGUCUCAACUUGUGGUGAACUUUGUUGGUGCGCCUGUCUGAGUACACUUCUGAGGAUUUCGACGACAACUGCCUGCCUCACCUGCGGACUUUCCUCUGCACUUUAUUGGGCGGUCAGCAAAAGACAUUGUUACCAUAUGGAUUUUAGAAAGGACCCGAGAGCAGACCAGAGCGCGGUGGUAAGAAGGUCCAAAUGAGUUUUAUUUCGGGGGGCAACACAAGACUGCGGGUAACUCUCCUGAAAGUCCACCAGCGCUUUUUAAAAACUGAAUUUUUCAUCUAUGGAGGGAGUAGACGGCAGAUGUUUCCACAGAUGCUCUUCACCAGUGGUCAGUGAGUGAUGCAGCAGAUGAGCGGGAGUUGACUGGCUUCAACCAGCUACUGUCUCAAUGUCUCCAGCCCAUAGUGUGGAUUCUCUACGAGAUCAGACAGCAGCUUCACUCCUGAACCCUGCAGAUGGUUCCCACUCAGGUCCAGUUCUCUGAGAUGGGAGGGAUUGGACCUCAGCGCCGAGGCCAGAGAGUCAUAGCUGAUCUCUGAUAAACUGCAGUUAAUCAAUCUAAAUAAAGAAGGGAAAGUUUUAUAAGGUUAUAAGUGAAACCAGUAUUAAUCUGAAAGGUUAAUCAAAGGCAUGAUCUGUAAAUAUUUAAUUUAGUUCCAGGUUAAAAAAUGAUAGUAAUAUGUAAUUACCACAAUUCCAACCUCUCAGGUUUGCACUGUUCCAAAGGAGAAUAUAUAUUGUUCUGGCCCUCACUCUUCCCAGGUUCUCCCACCUCUUUCCCUCCCAUCUCAUCAUGGAGAUCCAUCUCACCUGUGGCUCAUCUUUAAAGGCACAACCUGUCUUAGAUGACUUCCUGUCUCCCUCACCAUCUCCCUCCUCGUUGGCUGGUGUCUACCAGGCACCCUCACCUAGUUUUGUCUAAUUUUGGUUACCAUCUGUCGGCUUUUUCAUUGUCCUUAAAUCAAUUUAUCGUGAAUAAGUGGUCCCCGUGUGGCCCUCCCUCCUGAAGGAACUGGGCACAACACACACACUCAGAAAGUGUGAGGACCCUCGGAUGGAAUAAUGGACAUUUUUGAGAAUGGUGUUUACCUCAGAGUUUCCAGUCGGCAGUUUGGAAAGUGGAGAAAACCACAGAGCAGCUUCACUCCUGAAUCCUGCAGCUGGUUCCAACUCAGGUCCAGUUCUCUGAGAUGGGAGGGAUUGGACCUCAGCGCCGAGGCCAGAGAGCCACAGCUGAUCUCUGAUAAACUGCACUUAAUCAAUCUGAAAAAUGCAGGAUGAGGUUAUACGGUGCAGGUCUGCAUGUUAUCUGCGUCAGUACUAAACCUACGUUAGUUCUUAGUUGGGUCAGAUCUGAAUUCACGAUAUUACAAGGAAUUUUUUUAAUGUGGUGCAUCACAGCAGUGUUGAGAACAGCCUCACUUCACCAUCUUAGCAGCUGGUAUAUAGGUAGAAAAAUGAAGACUGACCUGAGCCACUCCAGUUUACAGUUUGGACUCUCCAGUCCAGAACAGAGCCGCUUCACUCCUGAAUCCUGCAGCUGGUUCUGACUCAGGUCCAGAACCCUCAGAUGCGAGUGGUUGGACUUCAGAGCUGAGGCCACAGAAUCACAGCUGGUCUCUGAUAACCUGCAGCCUCUUAGGCUAAAAUAACAAUUAUUUUGAGAGAAGACAAAUAAAAAUCAACAUAUACCAGAGCAAAACACAGCUUCCAAGCAACAAACCUCUGGUCCUGCACCGGCUUAUCUGCCGUAUGUUCCUAUUUUGGGUUCUUUCAGGACGGUUGGACAAGAUCUCCAGCGUAUGUAAAGUGUGUGUGGGUCAAAAUACCUUCCAAGUUUGUGAGACCACAUUUCUCAAUAGCACUCAACUCUUGUCAGGAGUUGGGACAAAGCGACCCCCUCCUGAUAGCUUGUGGGCGAUGCUGCAGCGACCCUGCAAUCCCUACACUCUCUGGUGAAACCAAAUCAAAGGUUUUAGACACUGCUGGAUGCUGGAAGGGUGGCUAUAGUCUGGACCCAUAGUUCCCCUGACUGCACAUUUCUCCAACAAUGAUUGGCAGCUGGUGUCACUUGUUCUCCAGAUGAGAGAAGGAAAGAGAGCCCCCCCACAGUGUGUUUGAUUGCCCCACUGCAAGCUCAAUGCUGCCAGAAAACAUUGCAGGAGCAUCAAUUCCCCUCAGGGCAUCAACAAGGACCUCAGGAAAAGGUGCAGCUGCCACCUACUAGAGAGAAGCACACUGAGCUGAGAUUCAAAGCCCUCUCCUCCCAAGAGAAGAGCUUGUUUGUUGGAGGCUCUUCUGGGCGAUACCUGGUGCCACAGCUCCAGCUCAGCCCGUCUCUGGAGCUGAGGUGGAGCUUAGCAAGUUUCAUGGUUCUCCACCACUUCCUCUCGCUGAGGACCUUCUCAGCUGGUGGUUUCUGCUCCACCUUCCAAGUUGAGCAGGUGAUACUUCUGCAUUCCUGCCACCAGUGUCUCUGCAGAAAGAGUCUUCUCUACUGUUUUAUAUUAUAUUGUAGAAAAUUACGAUUUUUGGCUGAUGUCUUAGAUGUUGUUGACUAAGAGCAGGUUUUUCUUUAAUAACAAAGAAAGAUUCGAUGAGAAGAGCAAAUGUAUUAUUUUAUGAGCUACUUCCACUACUAUUAUAUACACAUACUUCCAUAUUGUCUUAGAUUGCAAGCUGCAUUUAUUGCAUCGUUCAUAGAAAGUCAUAUUUGUAAGGAGAAAAACUCAAAUAAGGUAAUUUUGUUUCAUGACCAUUACAACAGAAGGAGGCGAUGAACAAACAGAUUUAUAUAAAAAUGUGUGAAAACUUAUGGAUGGAAACCUUUUUAAAACGGUUGCAUUGUGUAGAAUCGGUGUAGAAUCAACUUGUUGACUUCUGAUUUGGACUCCAAUGGAAGUGAGGUGCAACAAUUGUGGAUGCUGAAAGCUUCAGAUCUUCAUGAAGGUUUCUGUGGUUGGACUGACCUGCUGCCCCUUUAAGAGGGAGGCAGGUUUGGGCUUCUGGCUGGAAUGAAGCCACCUAAGAUGAGAAUGACUGCAGGCUUUCGGUACCAAGGUUUAACAGGGUGCUCACUUCACACUUGGGCUUUUCUCUUUUUUGGGAUGGCUUUUCUCAGGAGAGAAGGGGCAUGGCACACUGCAGCAGCUUUCUUUUGGGGUUUCUAGUUUUCCUUCUGAUCUUUAAAAGACAGGAAGAACCAUUUUUGAUUGGUCUGAAUGUUUGGGCGGUUUUGUGGCCAGCCUAAAAUAAAACAAGACAAAUCUACAACUGAUACUUCCUUUCUAGUCAUUGAUGACCAUCCUCACAUGGGACAGAUUUCCACAACCAAUUUAAUACUGCAAAUCUGUCCUGUGUGGUCUUUUUUCUGAGAACUGUAACACUACGUUUAUAACAAAGAUCAAACAUGGA